UAAAAGGACUUAAAAUGAUAAAAGGACGUCAGAAGUGCUUCGCUCAUGUAAACAUGUGUAUCUGGCGACUUAUAAGAAGACCGUUCACCCGAGCAAGUGCGUCUAGACACAAUCUGGAUUUAGCUGAAGAAACUCUCCGUAUUCAGGAAAAGAGGAGACGUGAUGCUGAGAUAGUAACAGGAGUGGGCGCAGGACUGUUAAUAAUUCCAGUUGUUGGAUGGAUUGCUGGGGCUGUCAUGGUGACUGUUGGUGCAGUAGAAAUAUCUCAAGCUUCAGAUGGUAUCAGAG